AUUGAACGCUGGCGGAAUGCUUUACACACGCAAGUCGAACGGGAGUAGCAAUACUCUAGUGGCGAACGGGUGAGUAACACAUCGGAACGUACCCUGACGUGGGGGAUAACACAUCGAAAGGUGUGCUAAUACCGCAUACGUCCUGAGGGAGAAAGCGGGGGAUCGUAAGACCUCGCGCGUUUGGAGCGGCCGAUGGCGGAUUAGCUAGUUGGUGGGGUAAAGGCCUACCAAGGCGACGAUCCGUAGCUGGUCUGAGAGGACGCCCAGCCACACGGGGACUGAGACACGGCCCAGACUCCUACGGGAGGCAGCAGUGGGGAAUUUUGGACAAUGGGCGAAAGCCUGAUCCAGCCAUUCCGCGUGAGUGAAGAAGGCCUUCGGGUUGUAAAGCUCUUUCGGCAGGAGCGAAACGGCUCUUUCUAAUACAAGGAGUCAAUGACGGUACCUGAAGAAGAAGCACCGGCUAACUACGUGCCAGCAGCCGCGGUAA
rnacentral:rRNA from 1 species